UGGGAACUACACUUCCCAGGAGACCUUGAGGCUUGCAAGGUCUCCUGGGAAGUGUUGUUCCCACCAGGUCAUUUUUCAGCCGCAAGUGAACAGGUCGCUUUUCCAGCCUGCGCUUUCAGGCCGAACUAAGGGGGAGGGAGCCGCGGGGGGCGGGGGCGGGGGGGCAGGCAAUUUUCCGCCAACCAGGCACACGCCCAGUGCAAUUGUGUGCAUGCACACGCACACGACCACGGUAGCUCUGCUUCUGCUCUGUAGGCUGGCUCCUGUUUUAAGGUAUGUCUGGACUCUCCCUGACACAUCCACACCUACACUUUAUGGAAGUUGAGACAGACCUCCUGCAGCAGAACAUGACUCCGCUACGAUGCAAGAUUCUCCGUUUAAAGGACACCUAGGAAGGAGAGAAGUCCGUUGUGUGAUCAUGGCAGUGCUACAGCUCAGAGAGUUGCGGGACCAGCAGAGGAUCAGUCGUGGGGCGUUCCAACAUGGUGACGCUGAGACGGUUGGACGCUACGACACUGAACGUUGUCAAGCUAUACAGUCCCUGGGGAUUUGUCUCAGUCUGAAUGGAUCUGAAGGAAGGAUUCCCUCCCCAACUUUUCCUGGAUAGGAAACAGAGCCACAGCAAAGCAGAACGGGACUUUCUUUGAAAUAGGAUUUUGCAUAAAACCAGUCCCUCGGCUGGAAUCCGUACGGUACGACGUACACAGUCCGGCAGCUGUUUGUUCUGUAACUAUAUUGCAGCCUUUUGGAGCCUGUGGACACAUCUGGAAUUCUGACACGGCAUGGUGGCCGCAACCACCAAAUGGCUGCCACGGGAGGCAAACGUGGCCACCAAAUAUCCACUGCCGCUUCCCUUCAGUCACACUGUGGAGAUCUUCAUGCUAUAGUGCUGGCUGCUUCCAGUAUUUUUAAAAAAAUCUACGCAGCUAAUCAAACCUCCAACGGUCUUGCUAUUCAAAAGCCCACCUUGUCUCAUCUACCUUCCGGAGGGCCAUAGGUUGGACACCCCUGCCCUUGUGACAGCCAGGAUUAUUCAUAUCCUGCACCGUUCUCCUGGCCCCCAAAUAAAAAGUCUGCUCUGGAGAAAAUCAAGUCCUGACCCCAGAAUAAACGAUAUGAUUAAUACACGAAGGCAAACGUAUUUAUUUUGCAUGACUCUAAUUAGUUUGCUAGUUGGUGGCGUUCCUUUAACCAUCCUGAAAUCCUCUGGCUAGCAAACACUCUGCCUCUCUCAAAAUAAAGGAUGCCAAUGUAUAAUUUA